rnacentral:rRNA from 1 species
GCAGCCGCCACGGGAAUACAGAGGGUGCGAGCGUUAAUCGGAUUUACUGGGCGUAAAGCGUGCGUAGGCGGCUUUUUAAGUCGGAUGUGAAAUCCCUGAGCUUAACUUAGGAAUUGCAUUCGAUACUGGGAAGCUAGAGUAUGGGAGAGGAUGGUAGAAUUCCAGGUGUAGCGGUGAAAUGCGUAGAGAUCUGGAGGAAUACCGAUGGCGAAGGCAGCCAUCUGGCCUAAUACUGACGCUGAGGUACGAAAGCAUGGGGAGCAAACAGGAUUAGAUACCCGCGUAGUCCCUGUCUCUUAUAC